rnacentral:rRNA from 1 species
CUUCGGUAGAAUGAUGCAGAGGACAGCGGCGGACGGGUGAGUAAACGCGUAAGGUAACCUACCUCAUACUGAAGGGAUAGCCUCGGGAAACCCGUGAUUAAUACCUCAUAAAGCGGAGCGGUCACAUGGCCGAGUCGCCAAAGAUUAUAUCGGUGUGAGAUGGACCUGCGUCUGAUUAGCCAGUUGGUGAGGUAACGGCUCACCAAAGCGACGAUCAGUAGCCGACCUGAGAGGGUAAUCGGCCACAUUGGAACUGAGACACGGUCCAGACUCCUACGGGAGGCAGCAGUGGGGAAUAUUGCACAAUGGGGGAAACCCUGAUGCAGCAACGCCGCGUGAGCGAAGAAGGCCUUCGGGUUGUAAAGCUCUGUCCUUAGGGACGAAGGAAGUGACGGUACCUAAGGAGGAAGCCCCGGCUAACUACGUGCCAGCAGCCGCGGUAAUACGUAGGGGGCGAGCGUUAUCCGGAAUUAUUGGGCGUAAAGAGUACGUAGGUGGUUAUGUAAGCGCAAGGUGAAAGCCCGGGGCUUAACUCCGGCGAGCCUUGUGAACUGCAUGACUUGAGUGCAGGAGGGGAAAGUGGAAUUCCUGGUGUAGCGGUGAAAUGCGUAGAUAUCAGGAGGAACACCGGUGGCGAAGGCGACUUUCUGGACUGUAACUGACACUGAGGUACGAAAGCGUGGGGAGCAAACAGGAUUAGAUACCCUGGUAGUCCACGCUGUAAACGAUGAGCAUUAGAUGUUGGCAUAGAAAUAUGUCGGUGUCGAAGUUAACGCAUUAAAUGCUCCGCCUGGGGAGUACGCACGCAAGUGUGAAACUCAAAGGAAUUGACGGGGACCCGCACAAGCAGCGGAGCAUGUGGUUUAAUUCGAAGCAACGCGAAGAACCUUACCAGGACUUGACAUCCCUCUGACGAUCCGGGUAAUGCUGGAUUUUCCUUCGGGACAGAGGAGACAGGUGGUGCAUGGUUGUCGUCAGCUCGUGUCGUGAGAUGUUGGGUUAAGUCCCGCAACGAGCGCAACCCUUGCCUUUAGUUGCCAGCACCUUGGGUGGGCACUCUAAAGGGACUGCCGGGGACAACUCGGAGGAAGGUGGGGAUGACGUCAAAUCAUCAUGCCCCUUAUGUUCUGGGCUACACACGUGCUACAAUGGUCGGUACAGAGAGAAGCAAAGUUGUGAAGCGGAGCCAAACUCUAAAACCGAUCCCAGUUCGGACUGCAGGCUGCAACCCGCCUGCACGAAGUCGGAGUUGCUAGUAAUCGCGAAUCAGAACGUCGCGGUGAAUGCGUUCCCGGGUCUUGUACACACCGCCCGUCACACCA